GCAAUCUGACUUUCAUUUCAUCUACGUCUGGAGGUGAGCGGCAUCCCGGGAUUGCUAGUUUGUCUCCAUUCACCAAAAGAGGGUCCAGGCAGCUUAGACUAAACAGAUCCUGCUCAGAAUUACAGAACUGGAGAGUAGCAGAGCUGGCAUCCUGACUUCCAGGACCUUCUCCUGUGCCAUAUUUUAUUAACAGCACUGAUAUGCAACGGACUUCUUUCUGUAACUCCUUCUCUGUGCCUUUUUAUGACACUUUUUGGAGGAAGCUUCUUAGCAGAGUGACAGGACAUAGAACUAGAACACCACCCUCUGCCAGUGUCCUUUCAGCAUUUUGGACAGUGAGAAAGCAUCCUCAAGUUAAUGACUAAGUGAAGAUCAGGCUCUGUCAGAAUCUCAGUCUGUGAAGAUCUCUCUCCUGCCUUCUCUCACUCUGUGGCAGCAUAAGAGGAAGGUCUGGGCUGUAUCUCUGCUAGAUGCUGCUCAGGCACCUGCUUUUCCCAGCUGACCAGUCCCUUUCUGAUUAGUAAAAGAGCAACAACUGGUAAACAUGGCUUAAGAUACUACCGACAUGUGCCAAACAAUUUUCUAUUAUUAAAUAUCAAAAGCAAAAGUUUACAUUGUUUUCUAACAAGUUGAGAGUCUGGUCUGUGUGAGGAGAAACUGAAUCAGAAUUGUUGACUCUGUGCUGCAUUAAAUAAAAGAUAUUAUAUGGUUUUUAAAUGUCAUGGGCAGCAUCCCCUCAUCUACUUGAUGCAUUUAUUCAACUCAUGUGAGACCUACUAUUUUGCUUCUCCUGUUUUAUAUUUAUUUAUUUACACACACACAAAAACCAAACAAACAAAUACUUAUGUUUUCUGUAGACAUAUAUAAGAAACACAACAAAAUGCCUUGAUAUCCUGAGGUCUGAGGUGAUGGCUUGUGUGAUAACUCCUUUACAGAGACCUCAACUGAGGAACUGGAAUUUGGCUCCCUCCACCUUCCAUGUUGUUUUGAUUGCCUUUCUGGACAACAGAUACAGCUGCAGAAGUUGUUUCCUCUGAAGAGCCUUUUGAAAUCCCAAGGCUUAAGUAGGAUUUGACUUAGCUCUUGUUCAGAAACCUUGUUUUUCACUUGAUUUUUGGUAAGAAGCAAAGGUUUUAA